AAAAACCAAGCUCAUGUUCAUUAAAGCUCGCUCAUAUAACUCGUGAGCUAAAUAAAGCUCGAUCACUAAACUCAUUUAUUAAAUGAUCCUUAAAAAUAGAACUCGCGCUCAUGAAUAACUGAGCCGAGUUGAGCCAGCUCAUGAGCUAUCAGCUUAUUUUGACACCCCUAGCUAUAACCAAAACUGAAGAUCUCUUGAGUGUUGCAUCAAACUACUAUUUUUAAUCAAUAGUUAGCUUUUUUUUGUUAUAUU
rnacentral:sRNA from 1 species